CCUGCCAGAGGCCACUGCUAUCGGGGUUCGAUUAAGCCAUGCGAGUCGAGAGGUGCAAGACCUCGGCGCACUGCUCAGUAACACGUGGAUAACCUACCCUGAGGAGAGGGAUAACCCCGGAAAACUGGGGAUAAUACCUCAUAGACCAGGGAUGCUGGAAUGCUUCCUGGUCCAAAGGUCCGCCGCCUCAGGAUGGGUCUGCGGCCGAUUAGGUUGUUGUUGGGGUAACGGCCCAACAAGCCUUUGAUCGGUACGGGUUGUGGGAGCAAGAGCCCGGAGAUGGAUUCUGAGACACGAAUCCAGGCCCUACGGGGCGCAGCAGGCGCGAAAACUUUACAAUGCGAGAAGUCGUAACAAGGUAACCACGACGAGGGAAUCCCAAGUGCUAACGAUUUUUCGUUAGCUGUGGACUUGUCUAAAAAACAAGUAGAGCAAGGGCUGGGUAAGACGGGUGCCAGCCGCCGCGGUAAUACCCGCGGCCCAAGUGGUGUUCGUUAUUAUUGGGUUUAAAACGUCCGUAGCCGGACCAGUAAAUUCUUGGGUAAAUCGACUGGCCUAACCAAUCGAAUUCCGGUGAGACUGCUGGUCUUGGGACUGGGGGAGGUCGGAGGUACUUCCAGGGUAGGGGUGAAAUCCUGUAAUCCUGGGGGGACCACCAGUGGCGAAGGCGUCCGACCAGAACAGCUCCGACGGUAAGGGACGAAGCCCUGGGGCGCAAACGGGAUUAGAUACCCCGGUAGUCCAGGGUGUAAACGCUGCGGGCUUGGUGUCGGGGGUCCUAUGAGGGCGCUCGGUGCCGGAGUGAAAAUGUUAAGCCUGCUACCUGGGGGAGUACGGUCGCAAGACUGAAACUUAAAAGGAAUUGGCGGGGGAGCACCGCAACGGGGUGGAGCGUGCGGUUUAAUUGGAUUCAACGCCGGA
rnacentral:rRNA from 1 species